UACGUAGGGUGCGAGCGUUAAUCGGAAUUACUGGGCGUAAAGCGUGCGCAGGCGGUUCGCCAAGUCAGGUGUGAAAUCCCCGGGCUUAACCUGGGAACUGCAGUCGAGACUGUCUAGCUAGAGUAUGGGAGAGGGAAGUGGAAUUUCAGGUGUAGCGGUGAAAUGCGUAGAUAUCUGAAGGAACAUCAGUGGCGAAAGCGACUUCCUGGACCAAUACUGACGCUCAUGUGCGAAAGCGUGGGGAGCAAACAGG
rnacentral:rRNA from 1 species